GACGAACGCUGGCGGCGUGCUUAACACAUGCAAGUCGAACGGAAAGGCCCUGCUUUUGUGGGGUGCUCGAGUGGCGAACGGGUGAGUAACACGUGAGUAACCUGCCCUUGACUUUGGGAUAACUUCAGGAAACUGGGGCUAAUACCGGAUAGGAGCUCCUGCUGCAUGGUGGGGGUUGGAAAGUUUCGGCGGUCGGGGAUGGACUCGCGGCUUAUCAGCUUGUUGGUGGGGUAGUGGCUUACCAAGGCUUUGACGGGUAGCCGGCCUGAGAGGGUGACCGGCCACAAUGGGACUGAGAUACGGCGCAGACUCCUACGGGAGGCAGCAGUGGGGAAUAUUGCACAAUGGGCGGAAGCCUGAUGCAGCAACGCCGCGGGCGGGAUGACGGCCUUCGGGUUAUAAACCGCUUUCGCCUGUGACGAAGCGUGAGUGACGGUAAUGAGUAAAGAAGCACCGGCUAACUACGUG
rnacentral:rRNA from 1 species